rnacentral:rRNA from 1 species
ACGCUCGACACCUACAGGAGGCAGCAGUGGGGAAUAUUGCACAAUGGGGGAAACCCUGAUGCAGCGACGCCGCGUGAAGGAAGAAGUAUUUCGGUAUGUAAACUUCUAUCAGCAGGGAAGAAAAUGACGGUACCUGAGUAAGAAGCACCGGCUAAAUACGUACCAGCAGCCGCGGUAAUCUGAGCGGGCUGGCAAGGC